GUCCUCGUAGCUCAGAGGAUAGAGCGACCGCCUCCUAAGCGGUAGGUCGCGCGUUCGAAUCGCGCCGAGGACA
rnacentral:tRNA from 1 species